rnacentral:rRNA from 2 species
AUACCGUGAAACUGCGAAUGGCUCAUUAAAUCAGUUAUCGUUUAUUUGAUAGUACCUUACUACUUGGAUAACCGUGGUAAUUCUAGAGCUAAUACAUGCUGAAAACCCCAACUUCGGGAGGGGUGUAUUUAUUAGAUAAAAAACCAACGCCCUUUCGGGGCUUCUUGGUGAUUCAUGAUAACUUUACGGAUCGCAUGGCCUUGCGCCGGCGACGGUUCAUUCAAAUUUCUGCCCUAUCAACUUUCGAUGGUAAGGUAUUGGCUUACCAUGGUUUCAACGGGUAACGGGGAAUUAGGGUUCGAUUCCGGAGAGGGAGCCUGAGAAACGGCUACCACAUCCAAGGAAGGCAGCAGGCGCGCAAAUUACCCAAUCCCGACACGGGGAGGUAGUGACAAUAAAUACUGAUACAGGGCUCUUUUGGGUCUUGUAAUUGGAAUGAGUACAAUUUAAACCUCUUAACGAGGAACAAUUGGAGGGCAAGUCUGGUGCCAGCAGCCGCGGUAAUUCCAGCUCCAAUAGCGUAUAUUAAAGUUGUUGCAGUUAAAAAGCUCGUAGUUGAACCUUGGGUCUGGCUGGCAGGUCCGCCUCACCGCGUGUACUUGUCCGGCCGGGCCUUCCUUCUGGAGAACCUCAUGCCCUUCACUGGGCGUGUUGGGGACCAGGACUUUUACUUUGAAAAAAUUAGAGUGUUCAAAGCAGGCCUUUGCUCGAAUACGUUAGCAUGGAAUAAUAGAAUAGGACGUGCGGUCCUAUUUUGUUGGUUUCUAGGACCGCCGUAAUGAUUAAUAGGGACAGUCGGGGGCAUCAGUAUUCAAUUGUCAGAGGUGAAAUUCUUGGAUUUAUUGAAGACUAACUACUGCGAAAGCAUUUGCCAAGGAUGUUUUCAUUAAUCAGUGAACGAAAGUUAGGGGAUCGAAGACGAUCAGAUACCGUCGUAGUCUUAACCGUAAACUAUGCCGACUAGGGAUCGGGCGAUGUUCUUUUUCUGACUCGCUCGGCACCUUACGAGAAAUCAAAGUUUUUGGGUCUGGGG